rnacentral:rRNA from 9 species
UUUGGUUAAGUUAGAAAGGGCGCACGGUGGAUGCCUUGACACUAGGAGUCGAUGAAGGACGGGACUAACGCCGAUAUGCUUCGGGGAGCUGUAAGUAAGCUUUGAUCCGAAGAUUUCCGAA